CAAAAUAUUGCUCUGAGGGUCUAGUUUAUUUUUAGAUUUAUUUGAAAAUUAUUUGGGGAUAGUAGUUAGGCCGCAACUCUUACGAUGGUAUGUGUUAUAUGACAUUGAUUCCAACGAAGGAAACGCCGACGUUAACUUCAACUAGCUCGAUCCCGACUACGUGGAGCCAGGCAAGCAUGUUUGAACUUUUGAUGUGUUGUUUGCUCACUAACAUAAUUUAACAUUCAUACAUUGUAUUAAUCAAGCAUAUUGCA
rnacentral:lncRNA from 1 species